rnacentral:rRNA from 1 species
UAGCGAGAGGCAUGCGAGAAACAUGCCCGUCGAAAGCCCAAGGUUUCCUGGGGAAGGUUCAUCCGCCCAGGGUAAGUCGGGGCCUAAGCCGAGGACGGAAGUCGUAGGCGAUGGACAGCAGGUGUAGAUUCCUGCACUACCGAUGGAAUGAAACAGUGACACAGAAGGAUAACUCGAGCAGGGUGAUGGUCAACCCUGUGCAAGCAUUGAGGUUGGGUUGUAGUGAAGUACGCAAUCCUAUAAGCUGAGAUGUGAUGCGGACCGAAAUUUCAGUAGGGAAGCGAGUGAGUUCACGCUGGCGAGAAAAGCUGCUAGUACAUCCAAAGGUACCCGUACCGGAAACCGACGCAGGUGGGCGAGGAGAGAAUCCUGAGACGAACGGGAGAACCCUUGUUAAGGAACUCGGCAAAAUGACCCCGUAACUUCGGGAUAAGGGGUGCCUGCGAGAGCAGGCCGCAGAGAAUAGUCACAAGCGACUGUUUAGCAAAAACACAGGUAUCUGCGAAAGCGAGAGCUGACGUAUAGGUGCUGACACCUGCCCGGUGCUGGAAGGUUAAGGGAACAUGUUAGAGCAAUCGAAGCAUCGAACCGAAGCCCCAGUAAACGGCGGCCGUAACAAUAACGGUCCUAAGGUAGCGAAAUUCCUUGUCGGGUAAGUUCCGACCCGCACGAAUGGUGUAACGACUUGUGAGCUGUCUCAACAGGGGGCCCGGUGAAAUUGAAGUAUGGGUGAAGAUGCCCAUUACCCGCGACUGGACGGAAAGACCCCGUAGAGCUUUACUGCAGCCUGAUAUUGAGUUUCGGUAACUGAUGCACAGGAUAGGUGGGAGUCUGAGAGACAUGGGUUUCGGCUCAUGUGGAGAUGAUGUUGGGAUACCACUCUUCGGUUACUGAAAUUCUAACAUAGCUCUGUGAAACCAGAGGAUGGACAGUGUCAGGUGGACAGUUUGACUGGGGCGGUCGCCUCCGAAAGAGUAACGGAGGCGCCCAAAGGUACCCUCAGAAUGGAUGGAAACCAUUCGAAGAGCGCAAAGGCAGAAGGGUGCCUGACUGCGAGAUUGACAAAUCGAGCAGAGACGAAAGUCGGGCUUAGUGAUCCGGCGGUAUUGAGUGGAAAAGCCGUCGCUUAACGGAUAAAAGCUACCUCGGGGAUAACAGGCUGAUCUCCCCCAAGAGUCCACAUCGACGGGGAGGUUUGGCACCUCGAUGUCGGCUCGUCGCAUCCUGGGGCUGAAGCAGGUCCCAAGGGUUUGGCUGUUCGCCAAUUAAAGCGGCACGCGAGCUGGGUUCAGAACGUCGUGAGACAGUUCGGUCCCUAUCCAUCGUGGGCGUAGGAGUCAUGAGAGGAGCUGUUCCUAGUACGAGAGGACCGGAAUGGACGCACCACUGGUGCAACUGUUGUCGUGCCAACGGCAUAGCAGGGAAGCGAAGUGCGGAUGGGAUAAACGCUGAAGGCAUCUAAGCGUGAAGCCCACCUCAAGAAUAAGACUCCACAAUAGACCCCUGGAGGACUACCAGGUAGAUAGGUCAUCGGUGGAAGCGCUGUAAGGCGUGUAGCUUGAUGAUACUAAUCGGUCGAAAGCUUCAU